AAAAGAAACCAACAGGGAUUGCCCCAGUAACGGCGAGUGAAGCGGCAAGAGCUCAAAUUUGAAAGCUGGCUCCUUCGGGGCCCGCAUUGUAAUUUGCAGAGGAUGCUUCGGGAGCGGUCCCCAUCUAAGUGCCCUGGAACGGGACGUCAUAGAGGGUGAGAAUCCCGUAUGGGAUGGGGUGUCCGCGCCCGUGUGAAGCUCCUUCGACGAGUCGAGUUGUUUGGGAAUGCAGCUCUAAAUGGGUGGUAAAUUUCAUCUAAAGCUAAAUAUUGGCCGGAGACCGAUAGCGCACAAGUAGAGUGAUCGAAAGAUGAAAAGCACUUUGAAAAGAGAGUUAAAAAGCACGUGAAAUUGUUGAAAGGGAAGCGCUUGCGACCAGACUCGCUCGCGGGGUUCAGCCGGCAUUCGUGCCGGUGUACUUCCCCGCGGGCGGGCCAGCGUCGGUUUGGGCGGUCGGUCAAAGGCCCUCGGAAGGUAACGCCCCUAGGGGCGUCUUAUAGCCGAGGGUGCAAUGCGACCUGCCUAGACCGAGGAACGCGCUUCGGCUCGGACGCUGGCAUAAUGGUCGUAAGCGACCCGUCUUGAAACACGGACCAAGGAGUCUAACAUCUACGCGAGUGUUCGGGUGUCAAACCCGUGCGCGAAGUGAAAGCGAACGGAGGUGGGAACCCUUACGGGUGCACCAUCGACCGAUCCUGAAGUCUUCGGAUGGAUUUGAGUAAGAGCGUAGCUGUUGGGACCCGAAAGAUGGUGAACUAUGCCUGAAUAGGGCGAAGCCAGAGGAAACUCUGGUGGAGGCUCGUAGCGGUUCUGACGUGCAAAUCGAUCGUCGAAU
rnacentral:rRNA from 1 species